GACGAACGCUGGCGGUGGGCUUAACACAUGCAAGUCGAACGGAAAGGCCCUGCUUUCGUGGGGUGCUCGAGUGGCGAACGGGUGAGUAACACGUGAGUAACCUGCCCUUGACUUUGGGAUAACUUCAGGAAACUGGGGCUAAUACCGUAUAGGAUCUCCUGUUGCAUGGUGGGGGUUGGAAAGUCUCGGCGGUUGGGGAUGGACUCGCGGCUUACGAGCUUGUUGGUGGGGUAGUGGCUUACCAAGGCUUUGACGGGUAGCCCGCAUGAGAGGGUGACCGGGGACCAUGGGACUAAGGGACGGCGCAGACUGCUACGGGAGGCAGCAGUGGGAAAUAUUGCCCAAUGAGACGGAGCCUGAGACGGAGGCGCCGCGUGCGGAAUGACGGCCUUCGGGUAGUAAACCGCUUUCGCCUAUUACGAAGCGGGAGUGACGGUAAUGAGUAAAGAAGCACCGGCUAACUACGUG
rnacentral:rRNA from 1 species